AGCAAUAUGUGGCAUACGGCUCAGUAACACGUAGUCAACAUGCCCAGGGGACGUGGAUAACCUCGGGAAACUGAGGAUAAACCGCGAUAGGUCAUCACUACUGGAAUGGGUAAUGACUUAAAUCUACAUGGCCCCUGGAUUGGACUGCGGCCGAUCAGGCUGUUGGUGAGGUAAUGGCCCACCAAACCUGUAACCGGUACGGGCUCUGAGAGGAGGAGCCCGGAGAUGGGCACUGAGACAAGGGCCCAGGCCCUAUGGGGCGCAGCAGGCGCGAAACCUCUGCAAUAGGCGAAAGCUUGACAGGGUUACUCUGAGUGAUUUCCGUUAAGGAGGUCUUUUGGCACCUCUAAAAAUGGUGCAGAAUAAGGGGUGGGCAAGUCUGGUGUCAGCCGCCGCGGUAAUACCAGCACCCCGAGUGGUCGGGACGUUUAUUGGGCCUAAAGCAUCCGUAGCCGGUUCUACAAGUCUUCCGUUAAAUCCACCUGCUUAACAGAUGGGCUGCGGAAGAUACUAUAGAGCUAGGAGGCGGGAGAGGCAAGCGGUACUCGAUGGGUAGGGGUAAAAUCCGUUGAUCCAUUGAAGACCACCAGUGGCGAAGGCGGCUUGCCAGAACGCGCUCGACGGUGAGGGAUGAAAGCUGGGGGAGCAAACCGGAUUAGAUACCCGGGUAGUCCCAGCUGUAAACGAUGCAGACUCGGUGAUGAGUUGGCUUAUUGCUAACUCAGUGCCGCAGGGAAGCCGUUAAGUUUGCCGCCUGGGGAGUACGGUCGCAAGACUGAAACCUAAAGGAAUUGGCGGGGGAGCACCACAAGGGGUGAAGCCUGCGGUUCAAUUGGAUUCAACGCCGGA
rnacentral:rRNA from 1 species